GUGAGGAAGCCUGUCAUCUGGGUCGCUUCCAGGUCCCUGGAGAGUUUCCUCCGCUGUCGUGGUACUGGGUUGGCUCUUUGUUUCAUUGAAUCCACCAGAAGGAAAGUUCUGGAGCUGGAGGUGGGGUGAGGAGCAGGCUGCUGCCCCUGACCUUUGCUCAGGGAGGGAACGCAUGACAAUGAAUGCUGCACUUACCUAUGGCCUCAAACCUUCACUGACCCACGCAUCUCCCCCUCCUCCCUGCCACUGGAAGGAAACCAUGACAUCAGAACACAUUGGGACUGGCAGCUGCCUCCAGCACAACGACUCAGAGUCGCAUCAUUGGAUUCCUGGACCCACUUGUGCCUGCCAUCAGCUUCCUGUUCCUGAGAAAUCAGGAGAGUGUGACCUCAUGGAAACCCAGUCAUCAGCAGGAGAAGAGACCGGCAGCAUCGGACGAGGGAGGCCGUCACAGAAUCAGGACCAAAGCUCGCUGGCCUUGGCGUUGAGAAGGUUUAUUGGUGGCCUCCUGUCUAAUUGAAUAUCAAGCUCAACUCACCUAGGUUAUUAAGCCUCCUGAUGGUGGAGCCUGGACGCCAAGCUUUAGGAAGCUCCGCCCAGCAGCUCUGGAGACGCUGGUAGAGACGGUACUGGAGGAUGGGACACCAGCCCUGCAGCAUGGGGAUGAGCCUAGUGCCAGCGGCCAGAGGUGAGGGACAGAAGGGUUGAGCUGAGUCACAAAGAGGAAGCAGAUGUGGGGGGAUGGGCACAGCAUGUUCUCGAGUUUAGCCAGAACUCUCUGGUGGUGGCAAGUGACAGAAACCCAGCACCAUCCAGUUUAAGGGUGAGAGAGGAUUUAUUGGACAGCACGGGAGUAGCCAUAUAUUUGGAGAAAGAGUUUCUCUCUGCACAUGUCUCCUCCCAUAGAUACACUUGUCGAGAAAGGCCCAGAGAGGGGAGAAGGAUGCCUCCUUGCACUUUGCACAAGGCCUCUCACGCUUUCUCUCUAGUCCUCGCCUUGGCCGGAAGCCCCACCUGCACAGCUUCUCCUCCAGCUCCAACUUUAAAAGUCUCAGCCUGAGACCCUAUUGGCUUGCAUCCCAUAAACAUCUCAGGUCAAUCCCUCUUCUAUGGGCCUCAAGGUUUUUUUUUUUUUCCUUUUGACAGUAUUUAUUUUUAUUUAAGGAAAAAUUUAUUGGAGCAUAGUUGACUAAAAAAGUUGUUUGAGUUUCAGGUGUAUAGCAAAGUAAAUCAGUUAAAUAUAUACACAUAUCUCUGUUAUA
rnacentral:lncRNA from 1 species